rnacentral:rRNA from 1 species
UGACCAACCUGCCCCGCGCACCGGGACAGCCCCCCGAAAGGGGGAUUAAUACCGGAUACUCCGCCGCCCCCGCAUGGGGGCGGCGGGAAAGCUCCGGCGGCGCGGGAUGGGGUCGCGGCCCAUCAGGUAGUAGGUCGGGUAGCGGCCGACCUAGCCGACGACGGGUAGCCGGGUUGAGAGACCGACCGGCCACAUUGGGACUGAGAUACGGCCCAGACUCCUACGGGAGCAG